rnacentral:rRNA from 1 species
UACGGGGGGGGCAAGCGUUGUUCGGAAUUACUGGGCGUAAAGGGCUCGUAGGUGGCCAACUAAGUCAGACGUGAAAUCCCUCGGCUUAACCGGGGAACUGCGUCUGAUACUGGAUGGCUUGAGUUUGGGAGAGGGAUGCGGAAUUCCGCGUGUAGCAGUGAAAUGCGUAGAUAUGCGGAGGAACACCGAUGGCGAAGGCAAUCCCCUGGGCCUGCACUGACGCUCAUGCACGAAAGCGUGGGGAGCAAACAGG